UCGGUUGAGAAUUCUCUGUCUCUCUCUGUAUCUCUCUGUGUCUCUGUCUCUCUCUCUCUCUCAGAUUCUAUGGAAGAACACCGAAGAGGCAGUGCCCAGCCUUGUAGAAUCCUUUCCCAGACCACUGGACUUGCAAUUCCAUCCUAAAGAAUGUUCUAAACGGAGCCCAUACAACAUGCAGCCCUUUGGACUCACCUUCUUAAUAGAAAACAGCCAUGCACUUGUGAUAGAUGCUUUCAUAGGGACUGAUGCAAGGAGGCUGAGGAAGCCCUGAAGAUGAUGGGGAAAGGAUUAUGGGAAACUCAGAAGAUGCUGUCUCUAAGCUGGGGUGUGAAGACCAGUCUUCAUGGGUCUGCAUCUCCUGUCAGUUCGCUGGCCUCAGGACCCCUGCCUGCCUGUGAUGUCUUCCCACCUGGAUGCUUCCUCCUGGAUUCUGUGUUCUCAUUAAUUCCUACACACUCACCCCAGAGACACUCAACAUCUGCUGCUCAGCAAAGCCCUGCCUGGCCUCUCUGCCUGGAUCAAGUCCUCACUUAGAUAAGCCAACAGCCUUCUUUAACAAUUUUUUUAAUUAAAAUUUUUCCUUGACAAUUUCA